CAGCAGCCGCGGGAACACGGAGGGCGCGAGCGUUACCCGGAUUUACUGGGCGUAAAGGGCGUGUAGGCGGCCUGGGGCGUCCCAUGUGAAAGGCCACGGCUCAACCGUGGAGGAGCGUGGGAUACGCUCAGGCUAGAGGGUGGGAGAGGGUGGUGGAAUUCCCGGAGUAGCGGUGAAAUGCGCAGAUACCGGGAGGAGCGCCGAUGGCGAAGGCAGCCACCUGGUCCACUUCUGACGCUGAGGCGCGAAAGCGUGGGGAGCAAACCGGAUUAGAUACCCCUGUAGUCCCUGUCUCUUAUAC
rnacentral:rRNA from 1 species